rnacentral:lncRNA from 1 species
AUGUGUACUACAGCGUUUCUACAGAUCUACCCGGUUUCGCUUGACUCCGUCUUUACGGAGAUACUCCGAAACCGGAACCGUUUCGCCCGUUUCGGCUUCGUGUGGACGGGGCCUAAUAGAUGCCACCAUUUUUUUUAUUCCUUGAUGUCAACUGAAAACUUGCUGUUGGAAGGUUUGGAGUUGAAAGGAAAAGUGUCUGGUGCAAACCCUGCCACACUUGAUGAGGCUGCUUUAAACAGCAAGCACAUCACAGCAGCUGUGGAUCUAGCAGUUGAAGCACUCAAGUCUCGCUUCAGCAGUUUGCUCAGUGACACUAAAGAUGGGGCUCCAAGUGCAGUACAGUGCUUCAGGGUGUUUAACCAUGAUGCUUGGCCUGAGACAAAGUCAGCUGCUGGACUACGGCAUUGAAGAGAUCACUAUCCUCCUGAAUCAUUUUGAUGUCACCCUUAAGAAGUGAGUUCAUUGACUUAGGCUCAAAUAGUGAAAAGAGGUGUUUGUUACAAAAACUGUACAUCUCCUUGUAUUACAACAGCUGAACCUCUUUCUUAUCAUUUCCUGUAGGGGAGGUUGCGACUUCAACAAAGUCCAGGAUGAGUGGCAGGCACUGAAGGUCAUUGUUGCCAACACCUUCAGUGACAAAAGUUACCUAGCCCUGUGGCAGACACUCCUUAACAAAGAGCCAUAUAAUCAUGACUUUGAAGUAUGUCAUUAAUAUAUGUAGAAUAUCUUGAAAAAUAUAUACAUUUUUCAACCUUAUUCAAAAAUAACAAAUAGUUUGUUUUUCUAGAACAUCCUGCACCUAGUGGAGAUCAUGCUGCUGCUGCCAAUUUCUUCUGCUCAAUGUGAGCGAGGAUUCUCUGCACAGAACAGAAUAAAAAAUUCUGUUCGAAGCAGUCUCCACGUCAGAAGACCUGAUAAGGAUCAGCACAGAGGGAAGUUCAUUGGAGAGUUUUGAUCCUUCGACCUCCGCAAUGCAGUGGCUCUCCUCUAAACGGUCCAGGAGGCCUAACUACAAGGAGUGGCCACAGUUUAUUUCAGAGGUGUAAAAUGUUGAAAGACUAAAUUAUUAGAUAGAUUAUAGAUAGAGACAGUUAUUGAUAUAGAGGUUAAUAAAUAAGUGUUUGUUAAAUUUGUAAUAUUUACUUAAUUUUUUUGAAUGUGUUCACCACUUCUGGCUGUUGAUGUUUAAAAAAAGGCUCUCAUAGUCACUUUACUAUUUAAUAUGUUCAUUGUCACUUUACUGUUGUUAAAUUUGUUCAUAUUGUGUUACUUUUGUUUAUACGUCCUAUUCUGUUCAUAGUUAUAUCUGAAUAAAAAAAAAAUUUGACUAUAGUAUGUGUGCUACCAAAAUUAUUUUUGUGCUACUGAAUUUUUGCUUGCUAGCACCAGUGCUACCACUUUAAAAAGUAAGCGUACAGCACUGCUACAGGGUAAUAGUAUAGUCCUAAUAUCCACAGGCUACAGGGUUAUAGUAAGGUCCCAACUUCUACAGGCUGCAGGUCAUAGUAUAGUCCUAACAUCUACAGGGUACAGGGUUAUAGUAGAGUCAUAACAUCUACAGGCUACAGGGUUAAUAGUCCUAACAUCUAAAGGGUGAAGGGGUUAUAGUAUAGUCCUAACAUCUACGCUACAGGGUUAUAGUAUAGUCCUAACAUCUAAAGGGUUAUAGUAUAGCCCUAACGUCUACAGAGUUAUAGAAUAGUCCUAAAAUCGACACUGUAGGUGUUAGGGACUAUACUAUAACCAUAACAUCUACAGGGUUAUCCGAUGCUCGCCUUAACCAGCCGACCUAAUACUAACCGUCUAUUGACCACUGCCUGUCGACCUGUUUCUAGUGAUAUUGAUGAUCCGUAUGGUGUAUGUUUAUGUGAAGGUAAGCUAGUGGUAUAGUCGGACACAUUGGCUGGUUGAAUUAGCUUCUCAUGUCAGGCGUCAACAAUGUUUGCCAGUGGGAUAUACGCUUUGAGAAUAAAUAAUCCAACAAUGUAACGUUAUUAAUUCGGCUCUUAGUACUGACUUAUAAUAUAAACCAAGCUAUACGUAGAUUGACCUUGUCUGAUUAGUCGUAUUAGAAUGUGUUGACUGCAGUUAGCUGGCUAGCCAUUCAUUGGACACGCUAUUGGAUCGGUAAGGCUAAUGGUAGCAUAGCUAACCGAGCUACAGCAACACACACCAACCAUCCAUACCUUGUGUUCAAUUAAUGUAUCCUUUUGAGUUAUACUUUACCUUAGUAUAGUGCUGUCUCAAUGUAUUCCAUUCACAGUGUCAUGCC